rnacentral:rRNA from 1 species
CAGUAGCCACGGUAAUACAGAGGGUGCGAGCGUUAAUCGGAUUUACUGGGCGUAAAGCGUGCGUAGGCGGCUUCUUAAGUCGGAUGUGAAAUCCCUGAGCUUAACUUAGGAAUUGCAUUCGAUACUGGGAAGCUAGAGUAUGGGAGAGGAUGGUAGAAUUCCAGGUGUAGCGGUGAAAUGCGUAGAGAUCUGGAGGAAUACCGAUGGCGAAGGCAGCCAUCUGGCCUAAUACUGACGCUGAGGUACGAAAGCACGGGGAGCAAACAGGAUUAGAGACCCCAGUAGUCCCUGUCUCUUAUAC